GUACAGUUCAGUGGUAUUGAAUAUAUUCACAAUGUUGUGUAACCAUCAUCACCAUCCGUCUCCGUAACUCAUUUCAUCCUGCAAAACUGAAACUCUGUACACAUUAAACAAUAACUCCCCCUUCCCUUUUCUCCUCCAGCCCCUGACAUCCACUAUUCUACUUUCUGCCUCUGUGAUUUAGACUAUAGGUAUCUCGCAUAAGUGGAAUCAUACAAUGUUUGCCUUUUGCGGCUGGUUUAUUUCACUCAGUAUGAUGCUUUCAUGGUUCAUCCAGGUUGUAGUAAGUACCAGGAUUUCCUUCUUUUUUAAGACUGGAUAAUAUUUCAUUGUAUGAUAUACCACAUUUUGCUUAUCCAUUCAUUUGUUGAUAGACACUUUUGUUUCUUCCCUGUUUUAGCUAUUGUGCAUUAAUGCUGGUGUGAACAGGAGUGUACAAAUGGAAAGAACCCGCUUCCAAUUAUGUUGAAUAGAUACCCUGAAGUGGAAUUGCUGGUUUGCAUGGUGAAGACCUCCCUCCUGUGACCUCAGCCCUCCUCCUUCCCUGUGCUUCUUCACACCACCUGCCUUCGCACACAGGAAUCCAGAUUUUUCUGUUUCGACUUCUCUGAGAGAAGAUUGCAGUGUGUCCUGGCACACCAGGGGGAAUGCUGCAGAACAGGAGGAGUGAACUUCAGUACUGUAACCAGGCUGGUACUCUGAUACCAGCUUUGCACCUUGGUGGCAGCAUGAGCACUUUAGUUAGAGUCCCAAGUUAGACUCUAGUUAGACGUCUCAGCCAUCCGCCCUCUCUCUCACAUGGUGGCUGUCUUUAUUGAGAGGCUGGAGUGCCACUGGUGUGAUCUGGGCUCACUGCAACCUCCAUCUCCAGG